rnacentral:tRNA from 1 species
AAGCUAUUAGUUUAAAAAGAACAUUUGAUUUCGGCUCAAAAACUUGUGGUUCAAGUCCACAAUGGCCUA